rnacentral:rRNA from 1 species
GUGAGGAAUAUUGGACAAUGGGCGCAAGCCUGAUCCAGCCAUGCCGCGUGCAGGAAGACGCAUCUAUGGUGUGUAAACUGCUUUUGUACGGGAAGAAACACUCCCUCGUGAGGGAGCUUGACGGUACCGUAAGAAUAAGGAUCGGCUAACUCCGUGCCAGCAGCCGCGGUAAUACGGAGGAUCCAAGCGUUAUCCGGAAUCAUUGGGUUUAAAGGGUCCGUAGGCGGUUUAAUAAGUCAGUGGUGAAAGCCCAUCGCUCAACGAUGGAACGGCCAUUGAUACUGUUAGACUUGAAUUACAAGGAAGUAACUAGAAUAUGUAGUGUAGCGGUGAAAUGCUUAGAUAUUACAUGGAAUACCAAUUGCGAAGGCAGGUUACUACUUGUGGAUUGACGCUGAUGGACGAAAGCGUGGGGAUCAAACAGGAUUAGAAACCCGAGUAGUCC